rnacentral:hammerhead_ribozyme from 1 species
GUACUGAUGAAGAGUCCCAAACUAGGACGAAACAUCUCUCCAGUAC